rnacentral:rRNA from 1 species
AAUCAGAAUAUGAAAUCAAUUAAAUGAAGUAAGAUAUGAACUCUUAUUUAAAUAAAAAAUGGCGCAGGUCCUGCUGUUGUGAGUGUGAGUCUCGUAACAGUAAUUGUUCUUUUUGGUAUUAUUUGUGUAAAG